GUGAAUAUCAGUUAGAAAUCUAGUUGUUCAUUGCAAAACUAAACCAGUUUAUAGCAGAAAUAAGCACUUGGAGGGAAAUGUUACAUUUUCACUGCAGGCCUUGAAUCCUUAGCCACCAGCUCCGUGUCCUUCAGUGUUCUGUGGUUCCUGGUUCCAGAGAGAUCACCUGCUCCAAUGUAACGAGUGAAGAGUUCUUUAGGUGAUGGCUGCUGGGCCCAGCUUUGCUGUUGUCUUUGCUGUCUUGUAAGCUUUGUGUCGCUCAAGUUCAGUUGUGUAUGAGUGUACUAACCACUGUGAGCUUCUCCAAGCAUGUGCAAGCAAUUUGAGAGGAGCCUAAUAUUUGCAAGGAAUUUGAGAGGAGCCUUUUAAGGAUGUUUUAUUGGCGGGGGUCAGGUGAGGGAGAUAACACGGGGGCAAGAAGGAAAGUUAUUAAUUCAUGGGAAACUACCAGCCCUUCAUCACCUAACUUGUGAUUUACAGACACUGAGCACAUUGCAGGUUGAGAAGGUGCUUGGUCCUUUUUGUAGCCUUAUGCUGUGCUCUUCAGAGACGUGAGUGUGCUGCUUUUUCUCACCAUUUUGUUUCUUGUAGAUUGUUUUCCUUGAUGCUGGAAAACAUUUUGAAGACAAGACUCUAAACAGUGACCUAUGCCACACUAGUUUAUUGGAAAAUGAGAAACUUACAUUACUGACAAGCUUGGAAGAUUCUUCAGUCCUGCAGUGACCUGAUGAUAUUGAUGAUGAAAUGUCUUACGAUGAUCAUUUAGAGGUUUAUUUCGAACAACUGGCAAUUCCAGGAAUGAUGGAAUAAAGCAUACGAAGUAGAAGGACUGGAACCUCCAGAAAAAGUACUUUAAGUUACCUACAGGUGAUCCUAGUCAGGUAUGAAUUGAUAAGAAAUGCCUGCACCUUCCCUCCUUCCUAUCUUUCCCUUGCCUACAGAAAAUUAAAAGGCAAAACAAUGGACAUCUACAUAUUCUUCAUUCAGAUCAACCAGUGGCUAGCAUUUGCCACCUUUUGCAGUUUCUUUCUCUUUCCAUAAGUACUUUCUUCUCUGAAUCAUUUGAAAGCAAAUGAAAACAGUAGCCUAAAGUGUCAGUUUCAACCCGAAAAUAACAGCUCUGAUUUCUCAUGGCUCACACUCGUCUGAAAUGACUCGGGUAGAGGCUGAGGAAGGCUGUGUUGUUUGUCUACCUGGGACUACACCUACUGAAAGAAGUUCUCAAGUUCUGAUUGAGUUCUAAAAUUCUUUUGAAGAUUGGAAUUCUUCAUAUGUAAAAAGAGAAGAGAAAGACAUUCUUGAUUUUGGUGACUAGAGUUGUAGAUGCUGGAAGCUUUGCCACUAACAUUGAUGAACCAGAUGCAUGUCACCAGCCCAUCACGGUGAUUCUUAAUGCCGUUAAGGCACCAUGGGCCGGCACUGCCACGUUUUCCAAGGAACCUGCCAGAGCUCCUGCGGAAGCUGCUCCUCGGGCGAUGGAGUCCCUUUGCUGCUAGGCCCUUCUUCAGUCACCACAGGAUGCCUGCCAUUCAUGAACAGGAAGGAGAGGACGGGCUUUGAAUAAAAAACAGGAUCCAGGAAAUAUUUGUGAGGCCAUUUGGACUUCAGUGUGAAAUGGUGUUAAAAGAUGAAGUCAUUUAUUCAAGAAGUAAACCUCUGCCACCUGGACUGUGCUCAGACAUUUCAUUGAUUUUGUUUAAUAAACAUUUUCUGGCUUUGG
rnacentral:lncRNA from 1 species